AUGGCUGUCGUCAGCUCGUGUCGUGAGAUGUUGGGUUAAGUCCCGCAACGAGCGCAACCCUUACUUUUAGUUGCCAUCAUUUAGUUGGGCACUCUGAAAGGACUGCCAGUGAUAAGCUGGAGGAAGGUGGGGAUGACGUCAAGUCCUCAUGGCCCUUAUGUGUUGGGCUACACACGUGCUACAAUGGUAUCUACAACAGGAAGCAAAACAGCGAUGUUAAGCAAAUCCCAAAAAGAUACCUCAGUUCGGAUUGCACUCUGCAACUCGAGUGCAUGAAGCUGGAAUUACUAGUAAUCGUGGAUCAGCGUGCCACGGUGAAUACGUUCCCGGGUCUUGUACACACCGCCCGUCACACCAUGGGAGUUGGUUCUACCUUAAGGCAAAGCUUAAAAUCUUUGACCACGGUAUAGUCAGCGACUGGGGUGAAGUCGUAACAAGGUAGCCGUAGGGGAACCUGCGGCUGGAUUACCUCCUUUCUAAGGAUGAUUGAAAGUAAAAUUUCAAUCUAAAUAAUAAACAGGUUAAUGUUGACCGUCCUCAUUUCUCUUCUUAAAAUAGUGUUUCUCUUCUGCAUGGGGGCCGGUAGCUCAGUUGGUUAGAGCACACCCUUGAUAAGGGUGGGGUCGAUAGUUCGAGUCUAUCUCGGCCCACCAAAUUAUUAUGGGGGAUUAGCUCAGCUGGGAGAGCGCCUGAUUUGCAUUCAGGAGGUCAGCGGUUCGAUCCCGCUAUCCUCCACCAAGAAACACUUAGUUAUUUUUUUUUGUGAAUAUUUAAUAAUUUAUAUCAAUAUCUAUAUCCGAACAUUAAUUCAUUUAUUAAUGUUCAAAUAAAAAAUUUGAUUCAACACAGAAUUUUUUUCUGUGCAUAAAUCAAGCGUUUAAGGGCGUGUGGCGGAUGCCUUGGCACUGAAAGCCGAUGAAGGACGUGGUAUACUGCGAUAAGUUACGGGGAGCUGUAUGCAAGUUUUGAUCCGUAAAUUUCCGAAUGGGGAAACCCGG
rnacentral:sRNA from 1 species